rnacentral:rRNA from 1 species
UACGUAGGCAGCAAGCGUUGUUCGGAGUUACUGGGCGUAAAGGGUGUGUAGGCGGUUGGAUAAGUGGUGGUGUGAAAUCUCCCGGCUCAACUGGGAGGGUGCGCCGGAUACUGAGGGGCUAGAGUGUGGGAGAGGAAAGUGGAAUUCCUGGUGUAGCGGUGAAAUGCGUAGAUAUCAGGAGGAACACCGGUGGUGUAAACGGCUUUCUGGACCAUAACUGACGCUGAGGCACGAAAGCGUGGGUAGCAAACAGG